rnacentral:rRNA from 1 species
GACGAACGCUGGCGGCGUGCUUAACACAUGCAAGUCGUACGGUAAGGCCCUUUCGGGGGUACACGAGUGGCGAACGGGUGAGUAACACGUGAGUAACCUGCCCACAACUUUGGGAUAACGCUAGGAAACUGGUGCUAAUACUGGAUAUGUGCUCCUGCUGCAUGGUGGGGGUUGGAAAGCUCCGGCGGUUGUGGAUGGACUCGCGGCCUAUCAGCUUGUUGGUGGGGUAGUGGCCUACCAAGGCGGCGACGGGUAGCCGGCCUGAGAGGGUGACCGGCCACAUUGGGACUGAGAUACGGCCCAGACUCCUACGGGAGGCAGCAGUGGGGAAUAUUGCACAAUGGGCGCAAGCCUGAUGCAGCAACGCCGCGUGCGGGAUGACGGCCUUCGGAUUGUAAACCGCUUUCAGCAGGGACGAAGCUUUUUGUGACGGUACCUGCAGAAGAAGCACCGGCUAACUACGUG